GACGUAGGUGGCGAACGUUAUCCGGAAUUAUUGGGCGUAAAGGGUGCGUAGAUGCUUGAUAAGUUAGCAGUGGGAAAUCGAGGCUCAACCUCGUGGAAGCUGGUAAUACUGUCAGGCUCGAGUGCAGGAGAGGUUAACGGAACUCCAUGUGGAGCGGUAAAAUGUGUAGAUAUAUGGAAGAACACCAAUAACGGCGAAGGCAGUUAACUAUUCUGUUACUGACAUUGAGGCACGAAAGCGUGGGGAGCAAAACGG
rnacentral:rRNA from 1 species